GAGAUGCCCAAUGAAACCUAGAAACCCUCAGCCACAAAGAAAUCCUCAGGCACAAAGAAACCAGCCACAACGCAACAGAACAAAUCAAGAAGCUAGAGUAGAAAGAAACCCUCAGCCACAAAGAAACCCUCAGCCACAAAGCAGCACUCAACCACAAAGCAGCAGAACAAAUCAAGAAGCAAGAGCAUAUGAGGUUGAUGUACCAGCAGCCAUG